CACGGUCCAGACUCCUACGGGAGGCAGCAGUGGGGAAUAUUGCACAAUGGGCGCAAGCCUGAUGCAGCCAUGCCGCGUGUGUGAAGAAGGCCUUCGGGUUGUAAAGCACUUUCAGUCGUGAGGAAGGCGGUGUAGUUAAUAGCUGCAUCGUUUGACGUUAGCGACAGAAGAAGCACCGGCUAACUCCGUGCCAGCAGCCGCGGUAAUACGGAGGGUGCGAGCGUUAAUCGGAAUUACUGGGCGUAAAGCGCAUGCAGGUGGUUUGUUAAGUCAGAUG
rnacentral:rRNA from 1 species